rnacentral:snRNA from 1 species
GGAUUUGAGGGCGAGCUGGCUGCGCGACAUCUGUCACCCCAUUGAUCACUAGGGUUGAUUUGGCUGAUCUGGCUGCCUAGGCGAGUGUCCUCUCAUCCCACACCCAUCUAUGUGUAUCCCUCCCUUAACUGCGUGCUGGGUCAGAAGACAGCCUUACCCCCAGAGGAGAAGACUGGUCUUCCGUCAAGGGUAUAUGAGAAGCUGAGCUUCCCUGAUAGAACCUUCAAACAAGCUCUCAAACAUGCCGUCUUCAUCACUUUAUAGUUGUUUUUUAAGGAAGAGCAGAGUAGAAGGAUGAAAUAAUAUGCAAAUAUCAGAUACCCCACAUUGUGUUUUAUUU